AUUGAACGCUGGCGGCAUGCCUUACACAUGCAAGUCGAACGGCAGCACGGGGCAACCUGGUGGCUAGUGGCGAACGGGUGAGUAAUGCAUCGGAACGUACCUUUCAGUGGGGGAUAACGUAGCGAAAGUUACGCUAAUACCGCAUACUCUGUGAGCAGGAAAGCAGGGGAUCGCAAGACCUUGCGCUGAUUGAGCGGCCGAUGUCAGAUUAGCUAGUUGGUGAGGUAAAGGCUCACCAAGGCGACGAUCUGUAGCGGGUCUGAGAGGAUGAUCCGCCACACUGGAACUGAGACACGGUCCAGACUCCUACGGGAGGCAGCAGUGGGGAAUUUUGGACAAUGGGGGCAACCCUGAUCCAGCCAUGCCGCGUGAGUGAAGAAGGCCUUCGGGUUGUAAAGCUCUUUCGGCCGGGAAGAAAUCGCACGGGCUAAUACCCUGUGUGGAUGACGGUACCGGGAUAAGAAGCACCGGCUAACUACGUGCCAGCCGCCGCAGUAAGAC
rnacentral:rRNA from 1 species